rnacentral:rRNA from 1 species
GACGAACGCUGGCGGCGUGCUUAACACAUGCAAGUCGAACGAUGAAGCCUAGCUUGCUAGGUGGAUUAGUGGCGAACGGGUGAGUAAUACGUGAGUAACCUACCUUUAACUCUGGGAUAAGCCUGGGAAACUGGGUCUAAUACCGGAUACGACCAAUCUCCGCAUGGGGUGUUGGUGGAAAGCGUUAUGUAGUGGUUAUAGAUGGGCUCACGGCCUAUCAGCUUGUUGGUGAGGUGACGGCUCACCAAGGCGACGACGGGUAGCCGGCCUGAGAGGGUGACCGGCCACACUGGGACUGAGACACGGCCCAGACUCCUACGGGAGGCAGCAGUGGGGAAUAUUGCACAAUGGGCGCAAGCCUGAUGCAGCGACGCCGCGUGAGGGAUGACGGCCUUCGGGUUGUAAACCUCUGUUAGCAGGGAAGAAGAGAAAUUGACGGUACCUGCAGAGAAAGCGCCGGCUAACUACGUG